rnacentral:rRNA from 1 species
GGGGAAUAUUGCACACAGGGGGAAACACUGAUGCAGCCAUGCCGCGCGUGUGAAGAAGGCCUUCGGGUUUUAUAGCACUUUCAGUCUGGAGGCAGGUGGUGUAGCUAAUAUCUGCAACAAUUGACGUUACUGCCAGAAGAAGCACCGGCUAACUCCGUGCCAGCAGCCGCGGUAAUACGGAGGGUGCGAGCGUUAAUCGGAAUUACUGGGCGUAAAGCGUGCGCAGGCGGUUUGUUAAGCGAGAUGUGAAAGCCCCGGGCUCAACCUGGGAUGGUCAUUUCGAACUGGCAAGCUAGAGUCUCGUAGAGGGGGGUAGAAUUCCAGGUGUAGCGGUGAAAUGCGUAGAGAUCUGGAGGAAUACCGGUGGCGAAGGCGGCCCCCUGGACGAAGACUGACGCUCAGGCACGAAAGCGUGGGGAGCAAACA